rnacentral:rRNA from 1 species
AUUGAACGCUGGCGGCAUGCCUUACACAUGCAAGUCGAACGGUAACAGGUCUUCGGAUGCUGACGAGUGGCGAACGGGUGAGUAAUACAUCGGAACGUGCCUAGUAGUGGGGGAUAACUACUCGAAAGAGUGGCUAAUACCGCAUGAGAUCUACGGAUGAAAGCAGGGGAUCGCAAGACCUUGUGCUACUAGAGCGGCCGAUGGCAGAUUAGGUAGUUGGUGGGAUAAAAGCUUACCAAGCCGACGAUCUGUAGCUGGUCUGAGAGGCCGAUCAGCCGAACUGGGACUGGGACACGGCCCGGACUCCUACGGGAGGCAGCAGUGGGGAAUGUUGGACAAUGGGCGCAAGCCUGAUCCAGCAAUGCCGCGUGCAGGAUGAAGGCCUUCGGGUUGGAAACUGCUUUUGAACGGAACGAAAAGCCCUGGGUUAAUACCCUGGGGUCAUGACGGUACCGUAAGAAUAAGCACCGGCUAACUACGUGCCAGCAGCCGCCGCAGUAA